AUGACAACCAUAGUUACACAACUAUCUGAAAUUAAUCAUAGAGAGAGAAUAAUUCAAGCAAGGAAGAGGCAGAAGCACUCAAUCAAACUGCCCUGGGACAAUCGUCCAAAUCAACAGGGCUUGGGGAGCUGUAUUCAGAAACACUGGAAUGAUUUUGGCGCACUAAGUCUAAGUGCCAGGAGCAGAGAAGGACAUGGUGCUUUCUUGAUUAUUUGGAAUGGCUGAGAUUAGGUGGGUACUUAUUUUUUCACAGUUGAGGUUUAGGUUUUUGUUUCAUUUUUACUUUUUUUCCUAGUUUACUUUUACUUUUCUUUCUAUAGGUUAAUGACUGGAUGAAUUUUAUGAGGUGUAGGGAAGAAAUGGAAUGAUUACAUUAUACUCAUUGAUUUCACUGUUUUUAUAUUUCCAAAAUGUAUUUUUAUCCCUCAACUGCCUUUAGUCUCUAAAUUUGAACAAAUAUUUUAAAGGAAACUAAUUUUAAAGAGACACUGCAUAUUAGAAAAAAAUAAAGAUUAUUUUGGGAAGAGAGCUGGAUCAGACUUCAUGAUCUUACUUGAAAGGUACCCGGACGCUUGUAAUUUAGGAAAUUUACCGUAUAUUUUGUUGGAAUAAAACAGUAGAAAUAACUAAAACCUUCCUUUUCCCUUGUGCAUGAAGAGUUGGUGUCCACGGACAUUGCGUAGAAUGCAAAUGAAAAAAUUUGGCAGAGUAAAGAAUAAAACGGAGGUUUUCUAAUUUCUAGGCCUGUGUCCUUUUCAUUAUAUCAGCAUUUUAAAUUCUAACCUAUUAUACACAGACA
rnacentral:lncRNA from 1 species